CGGCGGCAGGCAAGGAGCUUGCUCCUUUGACGUUAGCGGCGGACGGGGAGUAACACGUGGGUAACCUACCUAUAAGACUGGGAUAACUUCGGGAAACCGGAGCUAAUACCGGAUAAUAUUUCGAACCGCAUGGUUCGAUAGUGAAAGAUGGUUUUGCUAUCACUUAUAGAUGGACCCGCGCCGUAUUAGCUAGUUGGUAAGGUAACGGCUUACCAAGGCGACGAUACGUAGCCGACCUGAGAGGGGGAUCGGCCACACUGGAACUGAGACACGGUCCAGACUCCUACGGGAGGCAGCAGUAGGGAAUCUUCCGCAAUGGGCGAAAGCCUGACGGAGCAACGCCGCGUGAGUGAUGAAGGUCUUCGGAUCGUAAAACUCUGUUAUUAGGGAAGAACAUACGUGUAAGUAACUAUGCACGUCUUGACGGUACCUAAUCAGAAAGCCACGGCUAACUACGUGCCAGCAGCCGCGGUAAUACGUAGGUGGCAAGCGUUAUCCGGAAUUAUUGGGCGUAAAGCGCGCGUAGGCGGUUUUUUAAGUCUGAUGUGAAAGCCCACGGCUCAACCGGGAGGGUCAUUGGAAACUGGAAAACUUGAGUGCAGAAGAGGAAAGUGGAAUUCCAUGUGUAGCGGUGAAAAUGCGCAAGAUAUGGAGGAACACCAGUGGCGAAGGCGACUUUCUGGUCUGUAACUGACGCUGAUGUGCGAAAGCGUGGGGAUCAAACAGGAUUAGAUACCCUGGGUAGUCCACGCCGUAAACGAUGAGUGCUAAGUGUUUAGGGGGUUUCCGCCCCCUUAGUGC
rnacentral:rRNA from 1 species